rnacentral:rRNA from 1 species
CAGCAGCCGCGGUAACACGUAGGGUGCAAGCGUUAAUCGGAAUUACUGGGCGUAAAGCGUGCGCAGGCGGUUAUAUAAGUCAGAUGUGAAAUCCCCGGGCUCAACCUGGGAACUGUAUUUGAGGCUGUAUGGCUAGAGUGUGUCAGAGGGGGGUAGAAUUCCACGUGUAGCAGUGAAAUGCGUAGAUAUGUGGAGGAAUACCGAUGGCGAAGGCAGCCCCCUGGGAUAACACUGACGCUCAUGCACGAAAGCGUGGGGAGCAAACAGGAUUAGAUACCCCAGUAGUCCCUGUCUCUUAUAC